ensembl:lncRNA
UACCAAGGCCCAGAGCGGGCUCCAAGCCCCACAGAGGUGGUGUGCCCCUGCCUCCCGCCUGUAGGUUGGCCAUGCACCGGUGCCUGGGGGUCUCUGGCAGCCGUCGGGGCCCGGGGAAUUGCGAAGCCGAAUCCCGGGGCGAAGGGGGGCCGCGGGGCGGAGCCCCUCUCGCUGUCUGAGGCUGGCGGGCCGCGCCGCUGCCAGCUGGCUCCUGCGGGCCCGUGCCCCCUCCCCGGCCCUGCAUUAUUUAUCAGCCGCCGCCGUGGUAACCGGUGGGGAGGUGCUCCGGCGGGCGAAGCCGCAGCUCGGCUCGGCCCUUCUCCUCCCUCAGGCGCGGCCCUGGCGGGAGCUGCCGACCCGGGGUGCCGAGGCUGCGGACCGGUGUGUUCCCCCACGGGCUACAAGAAGGCGGAUGAUGAGAUGUCCGGAGCCACGUCCUCGGCGGAUCUGGACGAGGCGCCAGCCCGCACCAUUUACGUGAACCAGCCCCAGCAGAGCAAGUUCCGCGACAACUGGGUCAGGUACGGAGCUCCCCGCUUCUCGCGCAGGCGGCAGCCGUGGGCAAGGAGGGAUCCACCGCCUCUCGCCCCUCCCCGCCCGCACCGCGCGGUCCGGCGGGGCGCAGCUCUGUGCGUGCGACCAGAGCACGGACCCGCUCGGGUCACGGCGUGGGGAGGUUCUGCCUCGCGGCUCUCCUAGGGCCGCUGGGUUUUGGAAUGGCAGGAUCUAGUUCUUAGAUACAGGAGUUGACCUGUAAAAAUGUAGCGUGAGGUUUGGGUAAAGCUGGCUGUACAAACUCCAUGCAGCAUACUCUUCAAAAUGAGUGAUGCUCAGGCAUAAGAAUAACUUAGACUAAGUGUAACAAAGUGCAGAAUAGGAAGGAAGGAAAAAGCAAGUCUAACGGGACAGCAAUAGCUGAAAAGUUUACAAAUCACAUCUCUGUACAUUUGAGGCUGUGAUCCACUUGUUUGUAGCAAAGACCAGCCAGAAUUGUCAUUGCUAGUCAGAGCCCUUCCAGUGUGGGUGCUGUGUUUAAGUGUUGGUGAGAUGAAUGUCGUGCUGUUGUGGUUCAGGAAGGUGAGUAACGACCACCGCCACAGGGAUGUGAGGAUGCGUAAGGUGCACAAAAGCAGGGCUGUUCGGUUAGUGAGGUGAGCAGAUGGCUGCUGUCGUGACCAAGGAGGAGUGUUAUUUAGCAGGCGUCCGUUAGUGCAGAUGUUUGGGUCAUUGUUCAGGGAACGUUUACACAAUGAGUGCCUUUGUGAAAAUACAAAAGAAUUUUACAUCCUGUUGAAAGGAGGAUUUUCAUUGGCUGUUUUAUUGCAUGUAUAUCAUCAAAGGCAAUUUGAAGAAUAUUAUCUCAAAGGUUGCUGGUCUGUGUAGUGCAGUGACUUACACAUGAUUUUCUACACAGCUUGUACUUAUGAUAUGCUAGCCUAUGAAAGCCUAUGGCUUAGGAGGAGUUGAAGUUAUAGAUUUUCAUUGUGUUUUGUUUUUUCUACAUGGACAACACUAUCAAAUGUUUUUUCACUUUUUUCUUUCUUAAAUGUCAUGGGAGUUUGAUGCUUUUUAGGGAUAGAGUAUUUGCAUUUUUC